AAGCCACUUAAGUAUACCAGGAGUGGAGGGUUUCAUAUAGAAAUGAGGGCUUAUUUGAAUUUUGGGAAAGCUGAUGAAACAGGUCAGCAGAGUUACUGCAGAAGACCAGGAAAGUUACAUCUGGAAGGUUAGGGAAGCAGACACUAAAGACUUAAGCCUGAAGCAUAGAAGUAAGGAUCCGUCAAUACUUAUUGAGAAACUUCUGGAAUUCUCAAGAACCUCUGAGAAAUCUCCCAUUCUGUGGCAAUAAAGUGGUGGUACUCAAGCCAUCACCAACAUGGCUCAUAUGUCUCAUUGCACUAUGUCCAAAGACAAAUGGCCUCUGCUUCUCUUCUGUCUCCUAAAUCUCUUAAGAUUUCCUCUUAUUUGUUUAAGUCUAACCCAGAAGACUUACAUGGCAGGUAAUUCUGGGAAAUGUAUUCCCUUGUUUCUCCAAAGGGGUGGGGAUAAUACCAAGUUGACAACAGAAAAUCUAGCACCCUUUUUAAGGUUUUGGCAUCAGUGAUUUCUUGGUGCUCUAAAUAGUUCUUAUGAUUAUUCCAUGGGUGCUUAAAAAGAAUAUGUAUUCUCUGAUUUAAGAAUAUGUAAUUGAUUUAACUAUUGAUUAGAUAUUAAUAAAAUAGAUUUUUAAAUUACCUUAUUAAUUUGGUUAAGUCCUCCAUGACUACUUAUUUUUUGACUAUUUGUUAUGGAAAGGUGUAGCUAAAUAAAUAUAGAACUACUCUAUAUGUGUUUCUAGUUCUCUAUGUAUUCUCUACAUUUUGCUUUAUAAUUGUUUUCUUUCUUAGAGACAGGGGUCUUGCUGUGUUGCCCAGGCCAGAGUGCAGUGGCAUGAUCAUAACUCACUGUAGCCUUAAACUCCUGGGCUCAAGCAAUCCUCCUGCCUCAGCUUCUCAAGUAGAUGGGACUACAGAAGUGCAUCACCACACCCUGCUAAUUUUUUUCUUAUUUUUAUUUUUAGUGAUGGAGUCAUGCUAUGAUGCUCAGAGUGGUCUUGAGCUCCUGGCCUCAAGCAAUCCUCCCACCUCAGCCCCCUGAGUAGCUGGGAUUAUAGGUGAGAGGCACCAUGCCUGGAUUUGCUUUAUAAAUUUUGAUAUGUUACUUGGUGCAUAGAUAUUCAUUGCUGUUAGACCUUCAUUAUGUGUUGUACCCUGCCCUUCUUUGGUUCACUUUUCCUUGAAUUCAGUCUUGUCUGAUAUUAAUUUUCAGCUGUCUGCUUUCUUCUUAUUUCCAUUUUUCUAAUAUGCUUUUGCCUACUCAUUUGCUUUCAAUUUUUUCUGAGUCAUUUCAUUCUAGAUGAGUAUAUUACAGUCAGUACUUAAUUGGGUUUUUCUUUGUCACUGAAUAUGAGUGUCUCUUUUCCUGUGUAUUGAUAGGGUAGAUAUGUGUAGUAUGAGUGUUACAAUUUUUUAAAAAACUUUGAUUUCUCUCCUUUGUUUUAUUUGGGGUCUCCGGUUAUUUUUUAAGGUGUAUAGUGUCAUUUUAUUUUUAAUGUUUGCCUCUGUAAAAAUAAUUUUAUAGGCUGUACUUAAUCUUCUAUUUAUUUAGCUAGUUUAUAUUGACUCUUCAAUAACAGUAGUAAAUGUCCCUACUUCUAACUCCCCUUGCCCUCCACCUUUUAAUUUUGUGGGGUAUACUACUGGCCUUAGUUUUUCUAGUGGUUAAUUUUAUACAUUUAAAUAGGUUUAUACCUUUUAAACUUCAAUGGCCACCUUUAAAAAUAUUUUGACCCCACCCACUAUAAAAAAUAAACAUGCCAUCUUACACGCACAAUCUCACUUUCUCUCCCCUUACAUUCCCUAAUUUUUACUGGGUAUUUUAAUAUUUCUUCAUCAUCGUGGUUGAUUACAUUUACAUGUAUAUUGCAGUGGUAGUUCCCAUAAUUGUUAUAACCUUUAACCAUAGUUCUACAUUUAUUUUUGCCACCGUUUUUCCCAUUCACCUUUUGGUUCAACUUUAUCUUCUAGUAGUGUCUUCAAAAAAGUGUUCUUGGAAACUACAGCCCAUGAAACAUUAUUGCAUAUUUGAAAAUAUUUAUCUGUCACCAUUACACCUGAAUGACAAUUUAGCUAGCUCAAAUUUACUGGCUCACAUCAUCUUUUUUUUGGUAAUUUUUUAAGUACUUCUCUACUGUCAUGUAAUGUUGUAUGUAGGAUAGCCUAAAGCCAACUUGUGUUUUUUUAUUUUGCUGUUAUAGUAGUUUGAUCAUUUUUGCCUAGAUGCCCCAUAGGAUUAUUUUUCUUUGUCUUUAUUUCAGGAAACCUUACUAGACUAUGGUUCAGUGCUGACUAGACAUUUUUUUCCUUAAGAAACACCAUGCCCUUUAGAUCCUUAGAUUCAAAUCUUUUUUAAUAUCAGUAAAGUUUUUAAAUUUACAUAUUUGGAUAUUUUAUACUUCUCUAGUUUUUUCUUCUUAAAGAAGAAAACAUUAAUUCUGUCUUUGCCUGUCUUCCAUAUCUACAAUUUUCUUCUAAUCACUUUUUAUAAUUUCCAUUUCAUUUUGCUCAAUUGCCUCAAAGCUGCUAUCUAUUUUUCUGUUGUCAACAAUCUGUACUCUUACAUCAGCUACUAUGAUAAUAUUGUGUCACCAUUUACUACUAUUUACAAGCUAACCAUAAUUUCUCUGAUGAUUUUAGUUUUCUCUUCUACUUUGUGUCCUAGAUACAGGCAGCUCAAUUUUAAUUUUUGUUGCUUUUCUUGAUUCCUUAUACCUCUGCAUUAAGCUCUUAAUUCACAAAUUACUUCCAUUGUUAAGUUAUUGAGUUCUUAAACAAAUAUUUGGUCAUGAUUUUCAUCUACUCCACAUCAAAAUGUUCAUACUGUGUAGGCUGUUUGCCUUUUUUGUCCUGCUAUUUUCCACCAUUUUGUGACAUUUUUGUAUGGAUCUCCUUGUUCCUUUUUUAUUAUUAGUCAUCCUUGAGUGAGCAGAAAUCUUCCUAGAGCAGGUAUUUGAAAGAAGUAGUGUGGAAGAGGGGCUGGGGCUGUGUUCUGCGUUAGUAGAAAAUCCCCUAAUUCUUAGAAAAAUCCUUUAUGAUUCAUGGUCUUGUGGGAGAAGGUUGUGAAGCGGGUUUUGUGAAUGUGCUUCAUGUGCAAUAGAGAGUGACUGAGAGGUGGUUUAACCUUUCUUCUUAGCUCACAAAGAAUGGCUGCUACAGAGCUGCUUAACACCCACAGUUUUUCUUCUACAUGCUGCACAUUUACAAAGAUGGAGUAUCCGUGAGUUUUCUCACUCAUUCCUACCUCCCCUGCCAUUUUAAAGUAUCCAAGGAAGUUGGGGAGAUUCCCUCAGCUAAACAGCCACCCAGAUCUUAUUGUUCCAAACAAAAAAUUAUUAGAUUUGCCCUCUGAGCAGGUCACCUACUUUGGAGAAUUUUGUGCUCUGCCAGCUCUCCUCAAGAUUUGGAAAAGCAGUUAUUUUCUAUUGGAGCCCCCAUCACUCCAGUCCAAAGUUCACUGCAUGUGACAUCCCAUCUUAUUUGUCUGGUUCCUGAUUAUAGGAGUUUCCCAGUUUCAACAAAAAUACUGUCUUUGUUUUUGUUUCUCAUUCAUUUUUCCCCAAUUUUGUUUCAAAGCGAAAAGUAAAAACAUUCUUACUCUAACAUCUUAAAAUUAAUGUCUGGGAGGAACCUAAACUGCUUAUUAAUAUAUGCCAUGCUAUAUGUGAUAUGGCAGAGACUGCUACCUGUCCACCAGAAUCUAUUUAUUUUUCUUGGAUGCACAAUAAGACUACAUUUCCUAGUCUCCCUUGCAAUUACAUGUGACCAUGUCAUUAAGAUUUAGUGGAUGAAAUUUAAGCAGAAGCAAGGUGUGUAAAUUCUAGGGCUGGCCCAUUACAAACUUUAACAUGGGCACCUGUGUGUUUUUCCUUUUCUGCUUAAUUGGGUUGGAGAUAAUCACAGUGAUGCUGAAAGCCAUGUGCUAAAGAAGGCAGAGCCUCCUUCUGCUUGGGCUCCUGAAUGACUGUGUGGAACAGAGGCCCUUGCCACUCUUGGGCCAUUCUGGAUUAUUACAUGCACAAAGAGUAAAGUUCUUUUCUGUUAAGCCAUUAGAUGUAUGGGUUUAUUUGCUGUUACAGCCUAGUCGAACCCAAAUGAUGUAGUGAGGGAGGCAGGACAAGGAAGAAACCUAUUCAGUAUGGAGUUAUCCUUAGGGACAAGUUACAAAAAUUAUAAGGAUCAGACACCACUGCUGGUUGAUCCAUUAUAGACCAGAAUAAGCAGGUGGUAUGAUUCCAGAAGGAGAUGCCAUGGUUGUGUGAGAGAGAGAUUAACCAUUCCUAUAAACAGAAGGGUCAAAGAAAGUAGCCAGUCACCAGAAUGCUUAUAUUAAGGAGGAUUGUGACUACCUGUAUAUAAAGUAUAGGAAGAAAAUGGGGCAGGGCAAUUAAGAUGAAUUGCAGACACAACUAUUUGUGCAUAUUAAUUUGAAUUUAAAUUUAAACUUAAUUUAAGGAUAAUUUAAAGGAAAAUCUUCCCUUACCUAUUUCAUGCUGAAGGGGUCUUUCAAGUUGUCAAACUCUCUCUAUAUAAAUAAGACUGCAUAAUCCAGACCCUCCGGAAUCCAGAGAUGAAUUGCAUGUGGUAGCUGAUGUGUGGGAAGCCCACAGAGCAGCACUUCUGGUCAUUGCCAUCCAGCUAGCUGGUGCUCUCAGAAGAAUGAGAUGAAGAGGCAUGACUUUCAAGCUUCCUCUGCCAUACAAGCUUGGAAAAGGGGCCCACAGAGGAUCUCAGGUAUCUGAGGAAGGGCCAGAGGCUAUUUGGCCUGACAUCCUGGAACAUCACCAGCCAGGAGCCAUAACUCCUUUAGGCUAGCCUGCCUGCAACUGGAUCAGGUAUAGCAAAAACGAUUGAUCUCACCUUCUAAUUUUCAAUGAGUGGGAGUGGCUGCCUUGAGUGCUGUGUUGGGAAGGAGUCUGAGGCAGCAUCUGGACCCUGUGUAAAUAUGCGUUUCCUGUUAUUGAUGAAGCUUUCAAGACAAGAUUUUAGAAAGCUUUGGCUCAAGUUGUAGGUUGUGGGAGGAAGGAAUUAGUAAGAGCCAUCAUAAACUCAACAUCUAUUGUGUUCCAGGAGCUGUGACCACUCCCUUCUUUUUAGUCGGGAAGGUCAGGAUCUCACUAUGUCACCUAGGCUAGAGUGCAAUGGUGUGAUUAUUGCUCAUUGUAGUCUUGAAUUUGAAUUCCUGGGCUCAAGUAAUCCUCCUGCCUCAGCCUUCUGAGUAGGUGGGACUACUGGUGUGUGCCACCACACUCGGCUUACUCCUCCCUUUGUAUCCUGCUGCAUCGUUAGUGCAUGAUACCCACCACCCCCUCAGAGGCCCAGCCUAGUGCUGUCUCUCAGAAAAACACCCUUUGAGUCAACAGAGACAAACUUAGGGGGUGCCUGACUCCAAAGUCCAGGCCUUCCUCCUUUGAGGAACAGCAUGGCUUCCCCAGGGAAUAUCAUUCCAUGGAGACAAGGCCUGCAGACAGAUCUCAUUUUCAUCUGUUCUUUUACUAGCCCUUGGAGGAUUUGCUCCAAAAACCUGAGGCACUGAUGUUUACUCCAGCUUUACUUCCCCCAUACCUGGUGAACAACUCUGGCCCAGCUUCCACACACCAAGGCCCAUGGCUCUAAUAGAGCCAGAGAGGCAGUCUCAGCUAAGAAGAGCUGUAUCCUCCAGGGACCAGCAGGAACUUCCAGAGAUAUCCUACAAGCUCCAACUGCUGGGAAAAGCAGACUGGGGUCUUCCUCAGGCUCCACCAAAGAUAGCCAAGUGGCAGCAAUGACAUGAGCACCUCAUUCCUGUCCUAGACCCUGGCAAUUCCAUGAGAGGGAGGCUCUGAAUUCACCUCUGUUCCCAGGAUGUGUGACAUCAAUGCACAUUGUCAUACCAGAUACACCUGCCAAACUUCAGAACCCCUGGGAAGUGACCAGAAUGCCACUGAAUUCAACACCUUAGACCAAUGAACAUGACCUGGGUCCUGUAGGAUAGGAGGCAGCAGCAGUGUAUACCCAGACCUGCCCUCAACAUCUCUGACUUUUAGGCAUAGCAGGAACAUUGGAAUCUCUGCCCCCACUUUUUUAAAAAUCUAUUUGGAUUCCACACACACAAAAAAAAUGAUUUUGAAAAAGGAAAAUUUCGCUCCCUAAAAACUAGAGUGAACAUUUUAUCAAUUAAAAGUAACAACUCAUUUACAGAAAGGGAACAGGCCCAGAAAAGAAAGUCCCUUUCCCUUAGUCUCACAGUUAGAUUUUUUUAUGGCAAAGCACAGACUAGAAUGUAUUCUUCCUGAAGCAUAUGGUAUGGACUGAAUGUUUGUGUACCUACCCCUCAAAUUUAUAUGUUGAAGCCCAAUCCCCAAUAGGAUGUAAUUGGGAGGUGAGGCCUUUGGGAGGUAAUUAAGUUAUAAAGGUAGAGCCCUCAUGAAUGGGAUUACUGCUCUUACAAGAAGAGAAACAAGAGAGAUGAUCUCUUUCUUGACCACGUGAGGAUACAGCUAAAAGAUGAUCAUCUGCAAACCAGGACAAGAGCCCUCCCUAGACAAUCUAUCAGCACUUUGAUCUUGGACUUCCCUACCUCCAUAAAUAUGAGAAAUAAAUGUUUAUUAUUUAAGCCAUCCAGUCUAUGGUUAUUCUGUUAUAGCUGCCUAAACUAAGACACCAUACUAUCCAAGCACAUUGACACAAGCCUAUUUCAUCCCCUGAGAGCUCUGCUAGAGGUUAUGAGCUCAUGUGACCUGUUGAGUGGCAGAAGUAAGAAAGCAAGUGUCUUAGCUUGUUGAGGCUACUGUAACAAAAUGCCACCAACUGGGUGGCUUAAACAACAGGAAUGUAUUUUUUCACAGGUUUGGAGGCCGGAAAUCUGAGAUCAAGGUGUUUGCAGGGCUGUUUCCUUGACUUAUAGAAGCAUCACCCCGAUCUCUGCCUUCAUGCUCACAUGGUGUUCUUCCUGUGUGCAUAUCCAUCUCUGUGUCCAAAUGUCCCCUUUUAUAAGGACACAGGUUAUUAGGUUAGGGCCCAUCCCAAUUACCUCAUCUUAACUUGAUUACAUCUUAAAAGAUGAUUUUCAUCUCAAUAAGAUUACAUUCUGAGAUACUAGGGUUUAGGACUUUAACAUAUGAAUUUAGGGGUUGUCUCAGUCUGUUUUCUGUUGCUUACAACAGAAUAUCUGAAACUGGGUAAUUUAUAAAGAAAAGAAAUUUAUUGCUUACAGUUGUGGAGGCUGAACUGUCUCUCUUUUUCUUUCUAUAAAGCCACCAGUCCCAAUUCCACGAUAACCCAUUAAUCCAUUAAUCCAUCAAUCUAUAAAUGAAUUAAUUGGCCACGCACGGUGGCUCACGCCUGUAGUCCCAGCACUUCGGGAGGCUGAAGCAGGCAGAUUGCUUGAGGUCAGGAGUGCAAGACCACCUGGCCAACAUGGUGAAGCCCCGUCUCUACUAAAAAUACAAAAAUUAGCCAAGCGUGGUCGUGGGCACCUGUAAUCCCAGUUACUUGGGAGGAUGAGGCAGGAGAAUUGCUUGAGCCCAGGAGGCGGAGGUUGCAGUGAGCCAAGAUUGUGCCACUGUACUCCAGCCUGGGCAACAGAGUGAGACUCUGUCUCAAAAAAAGAAAAAAAAGAGAAUUAAUCAAUUCAUGAUGGCAGAGCCCUCAUGACCCAAUCACCUCUCAAAGGCCCCAUCUCUCAAUACUGCCAAAUUGGGGUUAAGUUUCAACAUGAGGUUUGGAGGAGACAAAAUUUCAAACCAUAUAGCGGGGCUAUGGACAAAAUUCUACCCGUAACGGUAAGUAUAAUUAGAGGCCAGAGGUCAGAAAUAAAUAGUGAGGUCGCAAAAGCCCAAAGGGCUUUCUGAGUGAGACGGGUGCUGGAAAGGGGAUAGGGAAGGCAGCUCUGCCCCUUGUUUUCCCAGUCUCUGCCUCUCUGGGUCGUUGGGGAGGAGAUGAGAAGAAACACUUUUCCCUCAUAGGCAAACACAUGUGGCUAGACUUACUGAAGCACCAGGGGUAACAAUGCUCUUAUUGUCCCCUUCCUUCUCCAUCUUCCAUGUGCAUGUACUCACCAACAGGCAUAACGGCAUGGCCAGGAACGUCAAACUAGAAACCACCUCGAAGAUACUAAACUUCACAAAGUGCUUUCCUUUUACAGUAGAAUAAGCCAAUUGUCCUUCAAUGGACUGGCAGGACAUGUAGCUCUCAGUUUCUAUAGCUUCAGGGAUAUCCACAGAAUAAUAGCAGUUGAAUGUCUUUUAAACUCAAUUGCUGGUUUUAUGCAAUCCUAUUUGGAGAGCAAGUGGCCCAGAGAGAAGGGACUUACCCAAGGUCACACAGUGAGUUAGAGACAGACUUGGAACUCAGUCCCCAGUUUCCACCUUCUUAUAAGAACUAUCAGAUCAUGGGGAUACCCAAGCUCAAUGUUGUUUUUUCUGUGCUAGCCUCCUUCUAGCAUGCCAUGUUGCUUACCUCAGUGGAAAGUUAGUAACAGGUUUUCCCACCAUAUAUGGACCCUAAAGAUAUUCAACAGGGACCUCCUAGAAAUACUGUCUUGCUCCAAAGAAGGGACAGCUUGUGGUGGUGUGCGUGUGUGUGUGUGUGUGUGUGUGAAGGGUGUGCAUUUCCAGCAUCGAAAUAUGAGCUUUGCACUAGUUGUGUAUCUCCACCUUCCCUGUCAGUUGUAACUUCCUACUCUUUGGCAGCCCGGCCUUGAUAACAUAUUGCCUCAAAUCUCAGUGCUGCUUCUGCUCUGCUGGUAGGCCUAGGAAUCAACGGCAAGUAACGACCUACUAUGUGGAGGCCAUGAGAAAGAUUUCUGAAUGAAGUCCACCUGCACAUGGACUUUAUUGCAACUACACCGGCUGCUGAGAUGGUGGGAGGGAUUUGACUUUUUCUCAUUCUUGAUUGAAUAUCAAACAGAUGACAGGGUAGCCAGGUUUGAGAUCUUAGAUGGUGAGUAAGGAAGGAUCUAGAGAACACAAUGUCCAAGCUCAGGUUCUAGGGUGCUGAAAGCCUGGAGUACAGCAGAGUACUGGCAGCUGCUUGUUACUCAAUAGAAGUGGUACUCAGACACUCGGAUCUCACUAACGGUCUCAAAGGAUGACAUGUUCUCCAGAAACAUGGCCUCUUCUUUGGUGAAGUCAUUGACCCUGUGCCAAGAUGCUUGUCAAUUAGCCAUUUGACGAAAAGGCAAUUCUUCUAAAUGUUUCCUCAGCAAGACCCACGACACAAAAUUUGUCUGGGGACACUUGCAUUUGUCACCUUUCUAACUGCCAGCUAUUAUUAAAGGCAUUAGAAUAGACCUAGAGUAACUAUUUCACCAUUAACAUAAAGAUGGCUUUUAAGUUGUCCUGGAAUAAAAGAAAUUGUGAGACUGUUCAAAUGUAAGAGGUCAAGAACCCAAGUGAGUGGCUGUUUCAUUUUUUUAAGUAUCUAAUAAUUUGCAUGUAAGAGAUUUCAUACAAUGAAAUGAGUUGAAAAAUGAAGGUGGGAAUAAUGUUUAUCUUACCUUUCUAAGUCACAAAAGGUACUACAGAACUGAAAUGUCAUACCAGCCCAAUGAAUUUUUAUAAGCUACCCAUUUUGUACUGUCUGUUAAAUAAUACUGUUCUUAGAUUCAUCAUCAAAAAUCCCUCAGAAUCGUUCUUAUUUUAAAAUCUAACCAGAAAAUAUAGUUGACAUCCAACUCAUCAGCAUUCUUAUUAAUGUGUGUCAAGCUAUAUGGCAGGUCCUAUACUGUGUACCAUAUAUUUUAUCUCCUGCAUCCUUGGCAACGACCCAGUGUGGCAGAUAUUAACACCAUUUUAUAGCUGGGGAAACUGAGGUCCAGAGAAUUGAAAUAUCUUGCUCCAAGUCACACAACUAAUAAGAGGUAGAGCCAGAAUUUGAACUGAGGUAUUUCUUCUUUUUUGCUACUAUCUGUUCAAUAAUCAACCAAUAGUAGCCAUGUGGCUCUGCAUAGACUAUGGUGGGAAAUCACUUGGCCAAGGUUUGCUCCCCCUUUGUAGAAGAUGAGAGACCAGUUUUCACAGCCAUAUAAAUUGUGAAAUGCCUCUCUCGCAUAAUCUCAUAUUUGGUCCCAUUGACAAGCCAAUCCAACAUUUUCUUCCAAUGAGACAUAGAAAGUUGGAAUAUUUAUUUAUGAGAACGAGUCUACAUCACCUUCCAAUUAGGGGCUCACAUGCCCUACUUGGGCAGCCUACCUCCAUAACAUUAACACCUUGAGAUGACUUGUAUCUAGAGGCAUACCAUUUGUAUUUACUGAAUAAAUAAAUGAGAUUAUUAUUCAUUAUUACAAAGGGGAUGCUGCAAAAAGGGGGUCUCUGACAGUGAACUGGGUGAGACCCAAAUGAGAUGAAAGAGUUUUAGGAAUGAAACAGUGUGUUUUCAGGAGCAGUGUGUUUCUCCAGCCCCAAGACCCUUUAUAGAAACAAAUUUGUUUGGAACAGAUUUGCUGUGUUGAUGAAUUCACCCAUUAUGACUUGGGCAACAUGGGUGAGACAACAUGUUCUCCUGGCACAAAUACCGAUCUUAGAUUCUCUUCUCUUCCUGUGGGUAGAAAGCAUUUCUGAAAGAAAUGGGAAACAUCUGGGGAAAAAUACAACAAAGCGGUGAACAUCAGAUGCCAUCCACCAGAUUAGCUCCUGAGAUACAUUUCCUGAGGAAGAAGAACACAACCUUAAUGCAAUUAGAUGACAAUACUGCAAGCCAACCAAGAAGCUAAAAGGUUUAGGUAUCUCCCUAAGUUCUAAGUGGCUUUGUGUGCACCAGUUUAACUUUCCACCAAGAUUUUAGGAGUGUGACAUUGGAGCCUAUGAAUUUAGAUAGCUCAUUGGUUGUGGGACACUAACCACGCACCAGUAUCAAGUAUGUUUUUAGAUCCCUCAAACAUGAGGAGAAUUCAGGUAGAGUAUUGCAUGCUACCACCUACUGCAGACUCGGACACAGCUCUGAAUUUCUAUUAUGGCCUUAUUUAUAACUUUCAGACUUCAUUAAUUUGGGUAGAAUUAUGAUUUGGCUUUGGCUUUUUAUUAAGGUUGUGUGUGACAAAAAAGUUAUGCUUUCAAUUUGUAAAAGCAAAUACCUACGUGAGACCUGUCAUGGCCAGCAUGAGCUGCAGACAGUCACGCUGAUGGGGUUAAUUGCCAUUUUAAAAUAAUUCACUGCCUCCAGAUUGAUUCUUCUGUGUUUUGUCUUUACACAACAUUACUGUUUCUCACUCUAAUUAUUCAAUGCUAAGUUCAUACUUCUGAAGCAGGAGAUUGGAGUCAGAGGAAAUGGUGUUUGAUUUGUUGCCAUGGAAACAUCUCGCUGUAGAUGGACUCUAAUCCCAUGACAACUCUCUCUCUCUUAAGAACCAUUUUUUUCUGACAUAAUAAAAAUCUGAUCAAGGUCAGAUUUAAUAACCAUCUCAAUUCCCCGACUUUCUCCUGUAUUUGGUGUCAGAGAGUCAUUUUGACAAAGCGAUGAUUAAAAGAACUUUUGCUUGCUUUCUGUAUAAAAUUAUUGUUUAUGCCUCUAAAUAUAUAAACCUGGCUCUGUGUCACAUUAAUUUGCAGCCAUACCCUUUGUUAUUGCAUAAUUUCUGCAUUAAAAAAGUUACUUAUAAUUGAAUUGUUUGCACUAUGUUGGCAGAUGUUAACAUUUUGUGGUGCAUUGUUCUUGCUAAUACAUACAUUGGGGUAUCAAUAAAGCUUAUCAUUUGUCAACAAAUGGUGUUUACAGUAUUAACAAAUGCCACGAUCAUUUAUCUUUCAGUUUGUAUUGUAAUAAUUUUCUGAACUGAUUAUCAUGUAAGUAUGCAGUUCAUUGAGAUGGGAACUGUGCAAUGCUGCACUGAAAUGAA
rnacentral:lncRNA from 1 species